UACAGAGGGUGCAAGCGUUAAUCGGAGUUACUGGGCGUAAAGGGCGCGUAGGCGGUUAUUUAAGUUAGAUGUGAAAUCCCUGGGCUUAACCUGGGAACUGCAUUUGAUACUGGAUGACUAGAGUACUGUAGAGGGUAGUGGAAUUUCCGGUGUAGCGGUGAAAUGCGUAGAGAUCGGAAGGAACACCAGUGGCGAAGGCGGCUACCUGGACAGAUACUGACGCUGAGGCGCGAGAGCGUGGGGAGCAAACAGG
rnacentral:rRNA from 1 species